rnacentral:lncRNA from 1 species
GUUGAAGAGCUGCAGCUGGGACAGCGAGGGCAGAGGGUGGAAGGUACCAUCGGCCAGCGUGGUGAGCUGGUUGUCAUUGAGCCACAGCGAGCGCAGCUCUGCCAGCGCCUGGAAGGCGUCUCGGGGCAGCCCGGCCAGCCGGUUGUUGUUCAACUUGAGGAUCUGCAGCCCGCUCAGGUUGCGCAGGUCCUGCCACGGGAAGGUGACCAUCUUGUUGUGGCUCAGGUCCAGGUUCUUCAGCUGUGACAGCGUGGCGAAGGCGCCCGGCUCGGCACCGCCGAUCUGGUUGUAGCCCAGCCACAGCGACUGCACCUCGGGCACCUCGGCGAAGGCGCCUCGCCGCAGCCAGCCGAUGCGGUUGGCCGACAGCGUCAGGAUGGUGACGUUAGGGGACAGUCCCCGCGGCACCUCGGGCAGCUCCUUGUAGGCACACUCGGCCAGCAGGCGCCCGUUCUUCUUGGUGGAGCAGGAGCAGGGCCCGGGGCAGGCCAGCCCGCGGCACAGCAGCACGGCGAUGCCCAGGCAGCACAGCAGCGGCCCCAUCCUUCCUCCCGCUCCAGCUUCUCGCCUCGCCGAGGAUCGCAGGGAAAAAAAAACACACAGGCGGCCCCUCCUCCCCCCGCGGCCCCACCGCUCCCGGCCCCAAAGAUCUGG